GAAGACCAAGUGGUCAGCUUGGUAAUAAGCUACCUACAAAAAUUUGCAAUAAAAAACAGCCAAAGGUUAGCAACAAUUUACCAACCAUAAAAGUUCAGUUAGAGAGAGAGAGAGAGAGAGAGAGAGAGAGAGGAGGAAAUCAAAAGGCUUCCAUUAUAUAGAAUUCUACAGGAUUCUGUUUAUCCUUGUUGCCUUUUUUCUACCCUGACUAGCAGGAGAACAGAGAAAUAGAUGUAACAUUAUUUUGGAACUGAAAGGAAGCCUCUCCACAUUUGAAUUUUCCAUACGAAAUUCCUGCAGACUUCAAGUUUCGAAAUGGGGAUGGGUAAACUACCAAAGGCUGUGGCUGCACCGUGCAUGCGUUUUGUAAUACUCUGUACUUGAGGCCCCUCACUGUCCGUUUCUUCACACCUGCUACAUUCAGUUUGAGGACAUUUCUGAAACACAGGAUGUGAUCUUUUCUUAUUUAUGGGGCAUUUGUGAAUUAUUUGUAAUAUCCCGUCAUAUGCGUAUAUUUGCUUCCUUCUUGUUGGGCAGCUGACGUGGCUGUCUACAAAUAUGUCACGAUUUGAACCACAAAAACAGAACGAAUUAUCUAGAAGUAGCACCACCAUCUACGCAGAGCCGAGCUGGAUUUUUCAUGAUGUGAUCUCACAGUUACUUCCACAAGAGUUGAGACAGAUGGUACGCCUAACAUCAAUUAUAUAGACGACGCUAUGGCGGUGGUGAACGUCUGAGUACCGAUGGAGGACUAUGAGACAGAUGGUACGCCUAACAUCAAUUAUAUAGACGACGCUAUGGCGGUGGUGAACGUCUGAGUACCGAUGGAGGACUACGAGAUGGAGGGUCUGGUCGCUGAAGCACCAGACUGUUGCAGAGAGUAUGAGAUGACUGUAACACGAGGAACUUCUCCUUGUGCUUAUAAUUUUCUUAUAUGUAAGUCUUUGAAAGAUGAGUGAUGUUGUUUUUCUUCCAUGAUAAAGCUUGCAUUCUAAUACGAUGUGACUUGCGGUUUGUUCCUCUGUUCUGUUUCGGAAGGAGAUUUAAAAAGUAGAAAAGCGUAAACGAUUUGGCAUGCUGAAGCCAAACAAGGGAACGAAGGUUUGCCUCCUCUGGAUGUGCAACAACAUAGCCAUUGGUUUUUUAUUUAGGGGUAAACCAAGCUUUAUUACUCAACUGGAAAGUUUACAUAGAUACUAAAAGGGUCAUGGGGAGCCCCCAGGUCACAAAUGGCGACACUGGUAUAAAGAACUACAAAACUUUGCUACACUGUGAGCAUUUCCAUUCACCGCCCUGCCUUCAAACACAAACUCACAUAGUUCAAACUCCGCAGCUCGAGCUUUAAUUUCUUUGAUGGUUACUCCAUAUCUUCCCCCAGUUGUCGGCGUUCUGAGAACGGGGGUCCCCAGACUUGCCUGCCCGCGGCCCGCUGCGUGGCUAAGCCAGCAGGCUGUACGACCCAUCAUCACCAACAAAGCAUCCAAGACCCUCGCGAGGGUCCAAGCCUUGCGAGGCGGACGACACAAGACCUCCUCGGGAGUGGCCUAGCUAGGCAGGCUCACGAGGAGCGGAGAUAUCAAGGCGGGGCAAACCUCACGAGACCCUCGUGACGUGAGCCAUGACGCACGACACCAGGCGGGCGCCAGCGCGUGCAGCGUCCUUGUUUCCUUUUCGGUGAAAAGGAGGCUAGCGCAGGCGAAGAGUACCGAGGCAUCAGGCAAAGGUUGCUAUAUUCGUGCAACGAGACCAAGACCAGGAGGACGGCAAGACGGAGGUCAUCAUGGAGCCCAAGACGGCGUCACCACAGAGCUUUUCGCAGGCGAAGACCACUUUUGUCAGGAUAGCUUGUACUAGCUGCCCCCCUUCGAAUUAGCCCGCCAUUGUUGGAUCCCUUCCCGCUCAAUAUUUUGGGAAGAGGACCAGGGCCAAUAUAAAUAGGACUAGCCACCACCUUAGUAACGGGCGGAUCAUUCAGACCAUCCAUACACACAAGCUCACCGAGCUCAAGAACACCUCAACCUCAGGAGGCUGUUCUUUCCUUGUACUGUUCAUCAUCAACCCUAGAGGCAAUCCACCACCACCACACUGGAGUAGGGUAUUACACCACAACGGUGGCCCGAACCAGUAUAAACCUCGUGUCUUUCUGUGUUGCGAGUUCGUCGAGUUCGUCCGCAAGAUCUUAGCGAGCUAGAGCAUAGAUCGGUGUGAGGAAAAGACCUCGCGCACACCCCAGUGUUCGAACCUUAAGGGUUUGCCAGAACCCCACAUCCGACACCAGUGCCUUCUUUUAUCUCUGAGACAAUCGAUUUGCGGUCGCAUGAAACAACAAUUUUUUUGCAAAGAAAGAUCAAGUGCCAGAGCCAAGGCCUCUCUACAGGUGAGAGCCUCUAGUGUUGCUGGGCCAAUAAUUCCAGGAAAAACCAUGGCGGACGAGCCUAAUUUUUUUUCACAUAUGAUCCUUGCACACAGCUGCAGAUGCUCCCCUAUUGCUGUUCCUUCAUAAUCCACCAUCAACUUGGAUUUUUGCUGCUCCCAAGGGGGGUCGAAUCCACGCUUUCCUACGGCCUGAAUGAACAUGACCUCUUGCUAUGCUAAUUACCUGGUUUCUGCAUGGGGCUUUAACCAGGUCCGACUCUGAGAUAAAGGUAUGUACAAAGGAGUAUGUCGCGUGGGGGCUCUGGGUGACUCCUUCAUGAAUCAACUUUCGUCUAGCUGUCCAAAUAGCCCAUAAUGUCACCACCAGCUUGAUUAGACUCGCAUGUGGUAGUGUCUCAAUCAUAACAAAUAUCCACUGUUUUGUGUUUGGCACGCGAGUUACCUGAAGAUGGUGCAAAAUUUCUGCAUCCCCAGAGCCCAUACACACCGAGCCGCUGUGCAUUCUAGGAGUGAAUGACACCAUGAGUCCGGGGCACUGCAUAACUGGCAACUAUCAUCAUCAGACAUAUGUCUCAUGUGGCGCACAUCUUCUGUUGGGAUCGAGCAUUUGGCCAAUCUCCACAAAAAGGUCUUAACAUUCCCUGGUACUUUGAACAGACCAUGGCGAUGUCCCGGCUUUUGCUUCAGCUUCGUGGUUAGAUCCGCCAGUGUUUCCCUCAAGCCAAUCUUCUCACCGUUUCUUCGUGUCAACAAACAUUCUAUAUGCAAACCACACCGUAAAACUUCCAUUUUGUCUCAAAAUUCCAUGCUCAAAAGUCACUCUUAUUACGUGGGCACAAUGGAAUAGAUUGUAUGGGAUUAGCAUCGACCGCUACAAACACUUGAUUUAUGAGUUCCUGUUUCCAACUUGCGCUUGUGCUAUCAAUCAGAUCCUUUACCAGUGUUGGUGGAUCAACCACCAGGCAAGCUACCGGCCUCAUUGUCACACUUCGGGGGAUCCAAUUAUGUGUACAGAUCCUCGCGGUAGAUACAUCUCCAAUCCUUUUGAUCAGUCCUUCGGCAAGCACAUCUCUCCCCUCAAGAACCGCCCGCGAAAUUUGGGAGGGAUGGCUGCCCAACUCAGCGGUCAAGAUAUACCUAUCUCGAAAGUAACCCACCUUCAACAAUCUACCACAUAGUGAAUCAGGGUUUUGCAAUAGUCUCCAUGAUUGGCGUGCCAACGAUGCUAGAUUGAACAAUUCAAAAUCUCGGAAGCCCAAUCCGCCCAUAAACUUUGGCUGAGUCAUUGAUUUCCAUGAAACCCAGCUGGGCUUCUGUUUACCUUCUUUGCUUCCCCACCAGAACUGCCUUAUCAGUUUAUUCAAUCCACUCUUUUACCUUGUUCCAAAGCCUAUCUUUGAUAUAUUUAAACGCCCCAAACUUUGAAGUACCUAUGUCAGAAGGCAUACCUAGGUACUUGUCAUUCAAAGUUUCGGUGGGAACAUGCAGAAUACCCUUGACUUCCUCUUUGAUAUUCGUUGGGCACCCUUUGCUAAAAAAUAUUGAUGACUUAGCUGGAUUUACUUUCUGUCAUGAUGCAUUGCAGCAUUGGUUCAACAUUUUUGAUACCUCAACCGCCUCCACACCAUUAGCUUUGAAGAACAACAAGCUAUCAUCUACAAACAAAAGGUGAUUAACAUGCGGUGCCGAAGGCGCCACUUGUACCCCACCAAUCUGAGAUGACUGGUUUAAUUUUUUUAGGAGGCACGAAAGGCCCUCUACUGUCAACAAAAACAGGUAGGGGGAGAUCUGAUCUACCUGACGAAUAACUCUUGGAGGUUUAAAUUCAUAUAACCUUUUCCAUUGAAUAAAACUGAGUAAGAAAUAGAGCCAAUAAGAUUCAUGACAAUAUCAACCCAUCUAUGUGAAAAUCCCAACUUACUCAUAAUAGCUCUCAACUAACUCCAUUCAACUUUGUCAUAGGCCUUCAUCAUGUCCAGUUCAAAGCACAAUGACGGUGUUUCACAAGAGGCGAAUGUUUGGUCUAUGGGGACAUAUGUCCCUGUUACCCAAUGCGUCCAUAAGUGCAUCGCGAUUGGCAUCUAAAGUAGCAUUUCAGCAUAUACGGCUUGAAGGAAUAGUUGGAAAGUGGAAUAUACAUCAGACGUACAGUGAUGUACCAGGCCACAGACAGGUCGGUACAGGAUCUUGUAGCAGCGACGACGCAUUUUCAAUCGUCCAUCGAUAAAUGUUGUCCUACUGGGACACACCACCUUCUUGGAAGAUCGAGGUCCUUGUCAGAGUCCUGGCGUCAACUUAGCUUAGUUGGUGCGCAGGUAAUCUGUCUUUGUGUUUAGUAGGAAGUAACUAAAUUGCCAUGUUUUGCACCAACAGUAAGAAAUCAAAAAUAAGUAAAUAUGUAUGGUUAAUAAAUUUAGUAAUGUAUGGACUUACUUACAUGAUUUAACUGGAAGAUAAGGAAAUAAAUACGGAGUUACUUGCAUGAUUUAACAGGGGGAAAGUUAAUUCGGAUGGUUUGUCCAACGAAUAGCAUAUAAUAUUUAAAAAAAUGUUUAAAUAGGUUGCAAAAGAAGUUACUUUGGGCUGAUUUUUUAUUCACAGUUGCUAACACUAAUGUUUUGAAAAAAAUGAAAGGUAUGUCAAUUAAGUGGACAUGCAUUUGUCUAAAAGAAGCCCCAAUGUGGAUGAUUUUGUAGCAGUGACAGCCUCCAGGGGGCAACAUCUUAUAUGAUUACAGGCGUGUUUGUAAAAUAUGCUUCGAGAAGUAGGCAGUUGGCUAGCAGUGGCAAAAUGGUGGGGCAGUAAAUAUGGGUGGUUGGUUGGUGGUGAUACUUUAACUGGAGCAUCGAUGCAACUGUUGGGGUAAAAGCUACACCCUGCAUUCAGUCUAUCCAUUUAUUCUGAAGAAACUCCUCCUCCUGAGUGAAGCGAAGAACAGCUAUGUGCGUAACGGAGAGGGAGAAAUAUCAAGGUGGUGGAUGUAAUGGACGGACUUCCUUCACGUAAGGUAACAUAUUCUCCAUUUGUAUGUUAGAUAUGCUUAGAAAUGUAGCCCGGUCACAUGAGUAAUCUUUGGAGAAAUACUGUUCAGGUUGUGCUAGAAACUGGCAGAUCUAAAGAAGAAGACGAUAAGAGAGAGUUAUUCCGUGGUGAUGUAUUGAGUAGCAGUAGCCCGAUAGAUGUUGCUAAGGACUCAUAUCCAAUAGAAGAGUGUGCAAGCACAAAAGGAGCGUUCAGUGGUGUUGGUAACAUUUCGAAGGGACGGGGCAGAUUCACAGCAUCGGAUCUGCAAAAAAUGUAUCUUGAACUAUCUACAAAGCAAAAGGGCAUAAUUAAAAAUUUAGGAAUUGAAGGAGUAGAGUGGAUUAACAAGAUGGUGCACACAAACCUUAAUCAUUCAGCUUGGUUAAUGCUUAAUGUCAUGCUUGAUGACCGUGCUAUGAGAAUUGGCGUAGAUGAUUGUGACAUAGUUCAUAUUACAGAAACUGCGGUAGCAAACAUAACUGGGAAGAGAAUGGGUGGUUCAAUAACGAUUCCAAUUUCUGAAGGUGCCCCAAGCCAUAGUGAAAUCAAAGAUGUGCGAAGCAUACUGAGACUUCACGAUGUAACUGAAGAAAUAACAGUCUCUGAACUUGUCACACUGUUGUUGGGAGAAAGUAAGAAGGGAUUUGAAUUAGAUGAUGAAGGCCCUUCACGCACACAGAGAGCAUUUGCAAUGAUUUACCUUUCUAUUGCGCUUGGUCCUGUGGAGAGAAAAUGUUGUGUCAACAGGAGUUCUUAUGUGAUGGUGAUACUUUAUCCGAAUCUGAAAGAUGUCAAUUGGGGAAAAUAUGCAGUUGAUGAGAUAAUAAGCGGCGCAAGGAAACUGAACCGGGACAAUCCACUGCUUAGCAUAACACUACAUGGGUGCCCUGCUCUGCUUGAGGUAUUUUAAUAAUUCAAUAUUUGCUAUCUUAAAUUUGUGAAUGUACUGACAGGAAUAUGUACAAUAGAUUCUUUAUUUUGACUCCAUGGACAUAGGUUUCGUUCAACUAGAUCAGAAAGCAGUACCCAGGAUAAAGUACUACAACAAACAAAUCCUAAGUGCCCUGGUGAAGGCUAACAACAAAGUAGAUGGUGGGCGUAUUACAUUUGGAUUAAUGAAGGUAUAUGUUUCAGCAUGAAUAAUUAAUUGCUUUUUUAGGUAAUUUGUGAAAAUGCCAUUUUAUAAAAAUGAUAGCUAAAUAUCACAUGUAAGUAAUCUCUGACACUAAAACAUGUUGACAGCUAAAAGGAUCAACCAAGCAUGCUGAUAACUUAGCUUAUGAUUUAACUAAUGAAUCAUGCGUGAAGGUAAAUAUAUACAACCAGAUUUAAGUUUUAUGAAAAGGAUGUACUACAAUAUACCGAAUGUUCACAAUGUUUAUAUAGGGGAGGAAUUGGAUAUUUGAAGAACUAGCACAACAGGCCAAAGGUAGGAUCGAAAGAUUUAUGAAGUUACAUGCAGAUCUCAUGAAUCAAAAUAGUCUGACUAAGGAAAGGAAGAAAAAACUAUUUCAGACACAUAGAUUAGUAGAGAAAAUUGAUGCUGAUAGUUGGCACAGUGAAAAUUCUGCGUUAUAUUCAGAAAAAUGAGGUAGAGGGGGGUGGAUUGGUAAAAGAAACAAUUUCUUGUCUGGACAAUGUUUUGGCUGCUAAGUAAUUAUCUAAUUCCAUGUAAUGUAAAUUUCAAAUAUCAUACUUUGCGACGGUGAUAACACAAUUAAUUGGGAAUUAGGUGUCUGUGAAAACUUUGCCAAGGGUACCAAGAGGAAGGCAAGUCCAAGUUUAGAUGAGGGGGCACAUAAAGAGAAAGGUAUAGCAAAUCGUUUAUGUUUUCCUUUGUACGGAAGAUGAAUGCACUAAGUUAUUUUUGCAGGGCCUAUGGUCCCAGACUUGAACAUGUUGUUGAUGGGUAGCACAGAAUGUGUUAAAGGGAAGGAAGUUGUCUCAGAAGGGGGGGGCAUGUUCAAUCAAGGGAUGCUGGUGCAUUAUAAUCCAAAUGAUGAGCUGCAUUGUGAAGCUGAAGAGUUAUGGAAAAAAGAUUCAUGUAGAAACCAAUUUGAAGAAGGUGGCAUUACCAAUAAUCAGAGCAUCAUGUCCUUUCCAGUUCCAAUCAAUGUAUCCUACUGUGAGUAAUGGUGUAUUGGAAAAAGGGUUCAGAAACAUGAUGAUAUGCUUCAAGAAGACAUUGAAAUCGUAUGUUUUGAAAGAACAAAACUCGUCAUUAAAUAUAUGUUGGUGGAAGCUGAUUUUUUUAAUAGCAAUGCUUGGCUGAUACAUGAGGUGCCUACAAGGAUAUGCCUAACAGGACAGCAAGUAGUUGCCCAAUUCAACAACCCAGGUAGCUUGGAGAAGGAUAGGUUCGAAAUAGUCACACGGAUGAUGGUAGCUGUAGAGAUAAAAUGGAUUAGAGGACUAUAUCGUGGAAGGUGGAGGCACAUCUUGCUUCCAAUAUGGGCUGUAAGUUAUGUUAAGUUACGUACUAAAGUGAUUUCGAAAAAUAUGUAUGAUUUGACAAAGAAGCUGUUGUAAAACGCAGGAAUUGGUAUUAAACGCAGAGCAGUACCUACUUGAUGAGACAAUAAGGAUGAUGUUUGCAUACGCAAACUUGGAAUACGACGUUGAAUGCUGCAGAGUGGUAAUUGAAUUUUGUUUAGACAUAAGGGGACUAUAACAAUUUAUAUGUUUAUUGCUUAACUGGAUAUAUGCUAUGUAGAUUUUUGCUCCAUACCGGGACGAAGAACAAUUCUGGAUUUUAUAUGCAUUUGACAUGGAAACCUGUAGAGUGCAUGUUUUCGAUCCGAAAAGGGGAAACCGUCCAAUGUGGGCGCUGGAGAAAAAGCACAAGAAGUUAUGCUACAAAUUGAUCGAGGGUCUUUCUAGAUGUUAUUUAUAGGUUCUUUGAUGGAUGGAAUAUCAAUGCGGAAUCAUUCCAGUUUAUAUAUCACAGUUUCCUUGAGAAGGCCAGCAACAUGUCAUACCUUAUCUUGCAUUCUAAUCGUGUGAGCUAUUUUUAUGUGGUAAUCACUCUGAUAACCUUUCCUAUGGCAGAUUUGACAGUUCAUUCUACAUGGUGCAUUGCAUUAUGAAUUACAUGGGAACUGGUCUGGCACAUGGAUGUACUGAGGUAUGAAACAUUUCCAUACUUUCGUAAUUUUUUAAAAUUUAAUAAUACUAACUGUUGUCAAAAAAACAUAGGAUGGGUUGAAGAAGAUAAGGGAGUACAUCGUACACAUGGUGCUGACAAUGGAUGGUAAUAUUGGAGUCCCGCCGAAAUGCAUAGUGAGUCCAAUGCUGCUGGAAUAAAGUACUGAUGGCCCAAGUUGUUGGAAAAAAAUUUGUAAUAUAUAACGUAGAUGAUGGAUGUUUUAUGUAGCUUUAUGUAAUGUACUACUAUGUUAAAUGCAGCUGAAUUCUGAGGGAUGCAUCCCUUCUAAUGUAGUAUAUUUGCGUAAAAAUGGUAGAUGGCGUGGACGACAACAAAAUAUGUAGUUCUGGUAGUUUCAUUAGACCUAAUAAUAAAUCUGAACAUUAUCAAUGUUUGGUGCGAGAGCGCUGAUGACAACAUACAAUGCCAAAAAUGUAUGUACUGGAGCUGAUGUCAAUUUUAUUAAUAAAAUGAUUAAUGGACUAAUGAAACUUCCGAUCACAUUCAUUUUUGUAAAGGUAAAAAUUAUUUAAAUGAAUGCAUUUCGCGUAAUGAAAAAAAUUUGGUAUAUGUUUUUUGGAUAAAUGACGGUUCAAUUUGUGGUUCUCGUAUAAAACAGAAAUGCCCCCAGGUGGCUUUAAGUAGAUUUUGUAAUAAUACGGUACAGAGGAAAAUACAUCCAAGGUUGAAGUUUCACCCCAUAUGGGUGCAUAAAUAAUAAACAAAAAAAGGUUGAAAAAGUUAAGAACUUGGUUGACAGGAUAACUGACUUGCUUUGGAUUUAGUAUGUAAUUGUUAAUGAAUAAAAUUAUAAAGCUUGACUUGAAAGUGGAAAAAGUCAAAAAUUGGUUGGCACUAUAGCUAACUAUUCAUACUGUUUUAUUGGGAUAACAUAAGUAUUUCUUGACCGUAGAUGUGAGAAUGAGAUAUCUUUUUGUUUAUUAACUGUAACGAGUACAAUAAAAUAGAGAUUUAUUUGAAAAACUAUUACAGAAACUUUUGACUUGUCGUGGAAUUACUGAAUUUUUUUGUACAUAUGGUCUAGAUGUCCACAUACACAAUUGUAACUAGUACAAGAAAUCUGCGUCCACGGUUUUUUUGGUCAGCUAAACUACCGAGGAAACUAGGGUGAUUCAUGCUGUAGUUCUCAAUACCCGGCAUGAGUAAUGAUAAAAGAUUAGAUUUGGCUGAAGGAUGUCUUUUAGUACACAAAUUUUCAUUAAUAAACAUUUUGCAUGUGGUCUUUGUUACUUUUGUAAGUUCCAAAUUGUAAUGAAAUAAUUGAGUUAAUAGAAAAAAUGUACUAGUAAGAAUAAAGGACGAUGCAAUUAAUAAAUUAUUUAAGGAGUGAAGGUUGCUUGUUUAAACGGAGGAAGAAUACUACAGUAAAAUUAUAUUAUAAAUUUUUGUGUUGUGAUGUAUUAUUAUUAAUAAUUCGGUACGUUGACAGUACAAAAUGAAGCGCGGAGUUCUGAGGACUUAAUUUAAUAAAUAUAUGUAAAAUCUGUGAAAAAAAUAAAAGUUAAACUAAGUCACCGUCUAAAAAACGCGGUAACUCAAUGAGUAUGAUUGGUUUGGCUGAAAGAAACUUGUACUAAUUACAGAAAAGCUGUUUAGCAUUUUGUCUAUGCAUUUGCUAGGAGCAGUGGUGAAAAAUUGCAACGUGGAUGAAGGAAUGAAGGCCUUGAGGUACUGGUGCAUGAGAUAUAUUUUGAUGAACUUAUUGAGGAUGUAUUUGAUUGGAAGCUUGACGACAGGAUGCGCUGGAUUAUUUUUAUGAAUGGGAUUGUGUACGAUAUAUGGAAAACCCGGUUUUGUGGUAACACGCGCGAGGAUUGCUGUAAUUUAUGUCGCAAAAAAAUGUUCAAAUACAUCCUACAAAUUAAUAGUAACAAAGAAAAAAAAGGAUAACAAGUUUUUAGUGUCAUGGGGCCGUUAAUAGAAAUGAAACUGGUGUGUAAAUUAUUAUUAGUAGUAAUCAUUGGCAGCUGGAUACAAAACCAAAAGUACACAGGCAGCCAACGCAUGUUUAGGGGAAAGACCUUGUUUAUGUAGGGCAGGGGAAGGAAAGCAUUAAAAAAUUGUUGUGGUAGAUGGGCAGCGUGCCAUUUAAGUGGUAGGCAGUGAACGACGCAAGGGGUGUUGGCUUCUUCCUCCACUCCCGACUCCGCCUCGCGCCGCCUCCCCGGGCGGCGGCCGGGGCGGCUCCUCCGCGCCUUCUCCUCGCCCCCACCCCUCCGUCCUCCCUCCCCCGCCGCCGCCGGACAGCGCCCCCGGAUCUGGCCGGGUGGCUCGGCGGCGGCGGGCCUUCUUUUCCCCCGCGCGCUGCGCCCUUCCCGGGGCAGGGCUCGGCGGCGGGUGCAGCUCGGCUGGCGGUGGUCCGGCGUCCUGGUGGCGGGGGCCGGCGGCUGGCGCGGUGGUGGCGCUGCCUCUUGGUGGCGUGGUGGCCUGGUGGCGCUGGUGGCCGGCGAUGCGCCCCCGGCCCAGAUCUGGGCCCUUAGGGCCCCAUCUGGGUCCUAGCGGGCCGGCGCCCGCGUGGCCUUGCUGUCUACGGCUCGGUGUGGAGGAGGAGCGGCUCGGAUGUGGGCGGCGGCGCCGAUGGCGUGCCGGCAGCAACGCGAGGGCGGGAGCUUUACGGGCCCACGAGGGCUCGGCCGGGCCUGUGGGCUUACGGGCCUGGUGUGCUCCUGCUAUUGCGUCCGGACGGCUACCGUCGCUGACGGUGGAGGUGGGGCCCUCCCGCGUGCCGACGGUGCUGCUGCCCUAGUCCCGGCUCUGAUUCUUCGCCUUGUUGUCCUCACUUCGCGGUGUCGUGGUGAGACGGCGUGGGGGCCUCUUGACCGUGUUGGCGCUGGGUGGUGGUUGGUUUGGUGGCUGGCUCCGGAGCGCCCGAGGUGCGGGUUGGGAUCGGGGGAAACCCCUGUCGGCUUGGCCGACACCGGCGCGGUGGCGCCUGUGGGUGCUGCCUGACCUUCCGGGAGGGCGUCGGCGGCUACCCUUCCUCUCGCCUCGUCGUGUACCGGGGGAAACCCUUGGCAGCAGCGUCGUCAUCGUCGCGAUCCUUCUUGGAGGUGUUGAUAGGUGCCGGCGCUUCGGAGUCUUGGAGCCUAGUGGAAGAUCCCGGUGGGCGCAGCGUUCGCGAGGCUUCUUCGUUUUCGUUGAUCCGCCGUUGUUCUUUUGCUCUUUCUCUGUCGUUUCUUUUGGGCGUGACUGUGCUGCUUCCGCCCCAGCACCUAUCUUCGUACGGCUUGGUUGGUUGCUUUGUAUACAAAGCGGGGGGAAACCCUUUUUCGGCAAGUGGUAGGCAGUGUGAGCAGAUAUACUGUUGACUAGCAAAACCACCUGCCGCUUGGAGGAGGAUAGGGUUUCCAGGUUAGAUCUGUGCUCGGGAGGGAAGUGCGCCGCCAUGGCGAUGGAGCAGAAGCUGAUGAAUACUGGGCAAUACAGGCAAGAAAGGUAACACGUCCGGCUGUCCCCCCCUCAUCUUUGCCUAUUUGUGUGCCAACUGUUUUUUGACUAUUUAGUACAUGGCGCUGCCGGGUCUAUGGGGAUUUCCGCAUUUAGGUUCCUUGCUUUAUUAGAAAGUGCGAAUAAUGGGGAGCUAUUCUACAGCGAUGAGCCGAGUGCUCUAGAAACCGUCAAUGAAGGAAGCGAGUCAGAUAUAUAUUCAGGUUCAGAGAACAUGCUGUCAAAUGUUCAUGCAUGGCAAACAAAUGGUAGUGGCAUUGUUAAAGCGACAGAUUUGGCUGGGCCUGAGGGUCUGCGGCUUAUCAGUGGGUUGAUUGAGCCUAUUGAACCAGACAAGGCCGACAAAGGAUGCCUACAAAUUUCAGAGACCGCGGGAGCAGAGCAGAGUUCUGAAAGUGAUACUACUUGCGUUAGAAGGUAAUUUGAACCUUUGUUAUAAUUUAUAUUCAACUUUGUGAAGAAAAAUGUGUGACAUUUGAACUUUGUUAACAGGCAUCGGCGAGGAGCAAUGCCUGAUGAGAGAACUAUACAAGCAAAGAGGGUUACAACACUUGAAACUGCAAUCAGGGGUUUUGCUGAAAGGAAAACAGCUUCUGUCAUUACACCAACACUAGGAUUGAGUUAUGAUUCAUUGACAGAAGCUUACGACUUUUACAACCUGUAUUCUUGGGAAUGUGGUUUCGGCAUACGUUACGGAAGAGCAAAAAUAAUGUGAAAGGAGCCAGGUGUAUGCAGGUUUGUUUGCUGUUGUUCGAUAAGUAACUUUUUUUUAUACUUGAUUACACAAAGCAUUGUGUGGAUUACAUGUUGCUAUCGAAAAUUGACAUGUGCAUUUCUUUUGCAACAGGGGAAACCGAAUAAGGAGAACAACAGUUCAUGCAGAGCAAAAUGUCGUGCAACGGUGAGGCUACUAAGAACUGAUGACGGGGGUGGUAUAUAUCCGAGAACAGGACAGAGCACAAUCAUGUACUACUUGAUACUUGUGCUUCUAAGCUCCACUUCCCGUCGCAUAGGCACAUAGAUAAGUACACUAGAUAAUUGGUUGCGCACCUUAGGCAGAAUAAUGUUAAUCUUAGUAAGGUUUACAACAUCAUUGGAACUUAUUUUGGGAGGAUCGAGAAUGGUCCAUUCACCAAAAGGUUCUUACGUACAUUGUGUGGGAAAAUUAUUAGAGAACAAGCUGAUGAUGAUGUGCGUAAAACAAUAGAAAUUUUCUUGGAGAUGAAAGAGAAAGAUAGUGAUUUAUCUUACACAGUUCAAGUGGAUGAUGAAAGCCGGAUUAGGACAUUGUUGUGGUCUAAUGGUAGAAGCAAAUUGCAAUACCACUAUUUCGGAGAUGCAGUGACAUUUGACACUACUUACAAGACAAACCUGUAUGACAUGCCGUUUGGGCUGUUUGUAGGUGUUAACAAUCAUUUCCAGAGCACUAUUUUUGCUGGUGUUCUUAUGAGGGACGAGCAGUCAGAAAGUUUUGAACAGGUUUUCCGUGAGUUUGUGAAGAUGAUGGGAGGAAAGGUUCCAGUGACUAUUCUUACUGAUAAUUUUUUUGUUUGUUUUCAAUCUGAAAAGUUAAUAAAAGAUGUCAUUUGUGCUAUAGGAAUGAUUUUGAUUAGUACUAUAUAUGUAAUUUAUGGUAAUAUAAAUAAUUUUUAAUCAAAUGUUGAACAGACCAAGCUAGGGCGAUGGAGAUUGCUAUUGAGAAUGUUUGGCCGGAAACAACACACCGUUGGUGCAAGAGAGUUUGGGUUAUCAUCAUACAAAGAAGAGUGACUUCCGAGCAGAAUUCCAUAGAUUGGUGAACGACAUGCUAACUAUCGAAGAGUUUGAGAAGGGGUGGGUGGAGAUUAUGAAGAAAUACAGUUUGCAGAGCAAUACAUUCCUCAUACAAAUAUUUGAGGUGAGGCGGAAGUGGGCAAAGCCAUAUUUUUCUGGAAAAUUUUGUGCGAAAAUGACGAGCACACAAAGGAGUGAGAGCGCAAAUCACAUGCUGAAGAAUUAUGUUCCUCCAGCAUGCCCAAUGAAUCUUUUUGUCAAGUAGUAUGCAAAAGUACCGUUUGAUAGAGAGCAAGAAGAAGGUUUCCAAGAAAAGAGGACCAAAUUGGUAAGAUAAGCAACAUUCUUUUAAUAUAUUGUAGUUUGUUUAAGCAAGCCUGAAUUAUGUUUCUAAUCGGUACACAGGCAGGGGUAGUUCUAAAAGUUAACAUACCAAUUGAACGCCAUGCAACCACGGUGUAUACUCAGGCCAUGUUUGAGCUGUUUGGAAAAAGUCUUUACUACUCAUGUUCUUAUUACAUCGAAGAAUUAGUUCCAGGGAGUGAGUACCUGGCAACACACGUGAAGGCGGGGUCGAGGGAGAAAUGGUACAAGAGCAGAUACAAGGUGGUGGUUUCAGAAUUCAACGAUUUUUUCAGUUGUGAGUGUUGACUCUUUGAGCAUAUGGGGAUGAUUUGUUUCCAUGCACUAAAGGUGUGUACAUAUGAAUUUUUAGUAGCUAAUUCCUUUUAUUUGUUAAUUGCUGACUUUGCACAUGACUUGGAAUAACAGGUGAUGAUAGUGUUGGGAUUGAAUGAGAUACCAAGGAAGCACAUACUGAAAAGAUGGACAGUAGAUGCGUGUGAUACCCUUCCAGAACAUCUGAAGCAUUAUCAAAAAGAUGUAGGCCUACCUGAUUGCACAACUUUCAGACACAAUGCUAUGUACAUCUCUGCUCUGGAAUUGGUUAUGAUGGGUGAUAGCAAUCCCAAGGAUUUUGACUAUGUCAUGAGCGGGCUAGCAGAAUUGAAGAAGGGUGCUUUGCCACUAAGUAAUCUUAAAGAUGGAAUGAGUCUAAUUGAAAAAAAGAAGGCAUGUAAGUCUUCUUUGUUGCUAAAUCUAUUGCUUCAAAGGUAGUCAGAAGCAGAUUAUUGAUGAGGAAGCUGCAUCAAGUGCUGGGAAAAUUGAAUGGAGAAAUGCAAAAGCAAGAACGAUAGUAGGGGAGGGGCAAUCUUCAGUUCAUGCUAAUGGUACAAUUCAAGCAAUUUCGGGUUCGUCUACUAUCCAGGGGGCGACCUGAGCACGGCUGAUUCAAACAUUGUUGUAACUUCAAGAAGCAUGGAUAUAGAAAGCGACAUGUCCAUGUUACCCCCUAAGAAGAAACCAAGGAUGAGAGGUCAUCCGAAAACUGCAAGAGACAAGCCAAAUUACGAAAUAAAUGACAAGCGAUCGGGGUUUUGCACCAUUUGCCGUGGGAAGGGGUACAAAAGAACUAUAUGCCCUCAAAGGGGCAACGAACCGCAGAAGCCCAGGAAGAUUCCGACAUGUACAAAUUGUGGCAUAGCCGGUCAUCAUAGGAAUACGUGUUCAGAAGUGUUGUACUCUACAUUGGAUGGGGUGCACUCUGUAGGAUGCAUCUGAAGUAAUUAUGUACUUCUAAUUGAAUCUUUUUUAAACAUUUGGACAAGUUUGUGUUGUAAAACAUCUGGAGACAAAAAAUGUUGAAGUUAUGUUACUUUUUUUAUUAUGUUUUGUAAGAAUAUGUCAUAGGGGUAAGAAAUAAUUUAUUUGGAUAUAGGCGAUACAUUAGCAAGAGCAGCUGCAAGGAUGGAUAUCUAUGAUUGCUGAAAAAGAAAACAAAAAAAUUACAGAUAUAUAUGGAGCAUGAUAGGCACAAGGUAUUUUUUUGGGAAAAUAAACAAGUAGAAGAAAAGAACAAAUAUUAAUGCAGUGUGUUUAUAAGAGUGGUAGAGGCCGCAAGAAAAUGCCAGGAAAAAGCACAUGGUGUCUGGUUGGCAGAGGAGUAAUAAAUAUGUGGUUUCUGUGUGAGAGGCGGCAAUGCUGUGGACAUACUUGUCCAUCUAAGGACAUGCCGAGACCUACAUACUUGUCCAUCUAAGGACAUGCCGAGACCUGAGGAAGCUUCAGUACUCACCAAGGCAACAUNNNNNNNNNNNNNNNNNNNNNNNNNNNNNNNNNNNNNNNNNNNNNNNNNNNNNNNNNNNNNNNNNNNNNNNNNNNNNNNNNNNNNNNNNNNNNNNNNNNNNNNNNNNNNNNNNNNNNNNNNNNNNNNNNNNNNNNNNNNNNNNNNNNNNNNNNNNNNNNNNNNNNNNNNNNNNNNNNNNNNNNNNNNNNNNNNNNNNNNNNNNNNNNNNNNNNNNNNNNNNNNNNNNNNNNNNNNNNNNNNNNNNNNNNNNNNNNNNNNNNNNNNNNNNNNNNNNNNNNNNNNNNNNNNNNNNNNNNNNNNNNNNNNNNNNNNNNNNNNNNNNNNNNNNNNNNNNNNNNNNNNNNNNNNNNNNNNNNNNNNNNNNNNNNNNNNNNNNNNNNNNNNNNNNNNNNNNNGAGAGAGAGAGAGAGAGAGAGAACCAUUCAGAGCGUCCAUGGAUAUGGUGAUGGAAUCAAAGAAGCGUCCGAGGAACUUUUCAGUGCAUGCAAUAUACUACUUUGAAAUUUCUUCUUCUUCUGUUGUUCAUUCUUUUACUAAUUUUUUUGUACCAGACAACUGCAAGUGUGGAAGGAGGGGCAGCUUAUGCUAUAAUUGAGACAGGAGAUACUUCCUCUGGUUCAGAAGUUGAGCAGGUAAAAAUGUAAUUAGUGCUUUUAAAAUAAGAAUGCAUGAAUUAUAAAAAUAGUGUAACAUCCCAAAUUUUCAAUUUGGAAUGUUAUACACUAGAUCAUCAUUGCAUAUCAUAUUUAUUGCAUUUUGGUUGAUCCUAGAAAUUUUUCGCAACUCAAGGACCCUGGGAGAGAGUUGGGGAUUUCGUUAUUUUCAUAUUUGAGUUGUCUCAAAUUUUGAAAAUAGGAUCAUUUGAUUUUAUUUAUUUUAUCUUCAAUUAUUUCUAUUACAAAAAUAUGAGAGAGGGAAUAAAAUGACUUUCCCAAAAUAAAGAAAUAUUGAGGAUUUAAUAAAAAAUCAAAUAAGAUUUAUUUCGAGAUUUUUGGAGUCUGUUUAGUAGUCCUUUUGUUUUUUUUCCGAGCGUAAGUUUUUUUUUUAAAAACGUCCGAACCGACCUACGGGCCGUGCUAGGCCCGGACUCCCCCGGACCCAGCCUUUAUAAGCCGCNNNNNNNNNNNNNNNNNNNNNNNNNNNNNNNNNNNNNNNNNNNNNNNNNNNNNNNNNNNNNNNNNNNNNNNNNNNNNNNNNNNNNNNNNNNNNNNNNNNNNNNNNNNNNNNNNNNNNNNNNNNNNNNNNNNNNNNNNNNNNNNNNNNNNNNNNNNNNNNNNNNNNNNNNNNNNNNNNNNNNNNNNNNNNNNNNNNNNNNNNNNNNNNNNNNNNNNNNNNNNNNNNNNNNNNNNNNNNNNNNNNNNNNNNNNNNNNNNNNNNNNNNNNNNNNNNNNNNNNNNNNNNNNNNNNNNNNNNNNNNNNNNNNNNNNNNNNNNNNNNNNNNNNNNNNCCUGCGCCCGACGCCGCGCGCCGCCGCCGCCCGCUGCCGCCCCGCCGGACCCCGCCGGACCCCGCCGACGCCGCCGCCUCGCCGGAGCCGCCGUCGUCGUCCCGCCGCUCGAGGUUUACCUCGAUCCCACCGCCGGUUUUCCCGGAAAAACCGUUCGGUGUUCGCCGGUUUUUUUGUUUCGUUUUUUCUUUAGAUCGGUUUUUUCCCGGUUUAGGCUAAUUAGCGAGCGUUCGCUCGUUCGUUCGUUUUAUCGAACGCGUUCUUCGUUUAGAUUCAGUUAACGAACGAACGUUCGUUAAAUUGUUCGUCGUUUUUCUUUUUCUCGGAUUAAAUCCGCGAUUUUCUGAUCGCGAUUUCUGAUCCGAUUUUCGUUUUAGUUUAUCUUUUCGCUCGUUUAUCGGAAUCAGGCGAUUCAAGCGCCUGGAGUUUCGUCUCGAAACUCUCUUUCUGUUUAACCAACUUAAACAAGUUUUUGCUUCUGUAAAAAUUGCCUUAGAUCUAGAAUAGUAAACGAAGCCUGUUUCUUUUGCCGUUUGUCUUUCGUUGCUUCGUUCGAUUCGAUUCUUUUUGCCAACCGGAGUUCUUAAGUUGAACUUUCUGGUUAAAUCUCUUAUUUGAGUUUUACCUAUGCAUUAGUUGAGUACUUAUUGUGUGCUUGUUUGUUUGCGAUAGAGUACCCGGAGUGCGCCGCUUGUUACUUCGAAUCGCUAGGUUUCCCGGAUCAUCAGCAAGGCAAGUAACACUUUGAUCAUACCUCCUACUACCCAGUUUUAUUGCAUUAGAUCAAUCCUUACACAUUUCAUGAUUAAUGUAAUUAAAUUGUGGGUUUGGGAAGUAGUUGAGGUAGUACCUAUUACCUGUCUAAUUAUCAAACCUUUGGGAGUUACUUCUACGUUUGCUUAUUAUUGCUAUGCUAUGCUAGUAGACGUGGAUUGGGUGAGUGUAUCCAUGACAGAUGUGAGCUUUGUUAAUUAAUGUUUUACUUAAGGUGGCAACCUAAACACACAUCUGGGUGGAUUGAGGCAUCUGGGUAUUCCAGGAUUGCCUGUUUUCUUUUGGACCGCCACCUAGGCUCAAAGGGAUCAUGAGAUUAUUCAUGCUAGAAACUUCUGUGUGCAGCCACAAGCUAUUAUGGGCUCUAGCAUAGUUGACUAAGUCGUGCGAACUCUUACAGUGGUAGACUAGCAGAUGUAGGGGAUGUAGGUGGUACGGUCUACCCAUCGUAAGGUGCUAGCGCUUCUGAAAGACUAUGUCUCGGUCAUCCGUUUCUCAAACACCAUGUAGUGCGAGAAACCAAAUGGAGGCGAUCGAGUCUUGUGGGGAAAAGUGCGCAAACCUCUGCAGAGUGUAUAAACUAAUCAUGGUUAGCCGUGUCCCCGGUUAUGAACAUCUUGAGUAUCUAGUACCUGGAUUAUCAUGUGAAUCUCAACAUGUUACUCUAAAGAUUAAUUUUGUUGGGUUUGUUUAAUGAUGAUGUUUAAUUGGGAUUGAGAAUGCCGUCAACCAUUCUCACUGUUUAACAACCACCAUAAUAGUUAAAUAAAUUUAUUCCUUUGCAGUAGGGAAAAAUUGGCUUUACGCAAAACUGUAACCAUAGAGCUUUCCACCAGCCAAAUAUGCAUAUAGUAUAACUGUUUCAUUCCAUUAUUCUCCAUGUGUUACAUUGCCAGCAUAUUCCAUGUGCUGACCCAUUUUCGGGCUGCAACGUUAAUGUUGCAGACUUUUCAGACGAUGAUUAAGGAGUUCUAGGUUGUGGUUCUAUACUCAGUGAUGCCGUUGGAGUUGAUGGACUCACUUAUCUUCCAAGCCUUCCGCUGUUAUCGUUAUUAGAUGGCCUUAAGCCAUUUUUAUUGUAAUAAGUUAUCUUUGGAGACACUCGAUGUAAUAAGUGUGUGAUUGCUACUCUGCUAUAAAUCCUUCAAGUACUGUGUGGUGUCAGCAUUACUGAUCCAGGGAUGACACCGAAGCACAGAGAUUGGACUGUCUGAGGUCUGGUCGCUACAAGAUGGUAUUAGAGCCCACACUAACUGUAGGACACGACCACUAAGCUAAAGACCUAGAUCACUACUCACUCUCUUCUCUUCUGACCUUUCAUCUUUUCUACUCUUUUUGGAUGGCGGAUGCAAGAAACAAGUUCACUCAACCGGAUGAAGAUACACCCUUUGGACGUCACUUGAAGGAAGUCACUAGAUACCUGAACAUAUGAGUACCAAGCUUCACUGGAACCUACAAUGCCACCUUACCUGAAGAAGAGCGUUGGAUGAUUCAAGUUCAAGUUCUAGGAAGGACGUUCAUGCCAGUCACUGAGCCCAUAAAGUUUUCUUUCGAUGCACCAACCUGGAGUCUAGGAAAGAGCAUGGCAGCUCACAUCGCCAUGGGACGCAUUGGAGAAGUCUACCGCAAUGAUCUCAAGGAUACUAUCUACCAGAUUUGUGGGCGCCGAGAUGAGCACUGGGAGAUGAUCAGCACCAGAAAGGAUAGAUCAAUUGCAGCUUUUAUCCAGGAGUUAAACCAACACAUUUGACGCCAGGAGAACCAGAUGUGCGCCGACAUGAUAGAUCUAAAGAAUACAAGGACAAGAAUCAAGGAACUGUAGGAAGAACUCAAGGCUACACGUGAAGAUUUUGAAGAAGAAAUUGAAGUAUUAGUGGAAAAGAAUGACGAUCUGAUCAAGAAAAUUGGAAUAUUCAUGGGAGACCCUAUAUCGGUAGAAGAAGACGAAGAACCCAAGGAGAUUCGCCCGGAAGACUACAUCAUCAUCGACGACAUCGACUCGGAUCCAGAUGAUAGCGAUGAUGACUAUGUUGAUGAAGCUGGAGCAGAUAUCAUGGAGUCUGUAACAAAAGAAUAUUUCUAGUAGACCACCCCAACAAUAGUAGUAGUCCACCAUGUAAAUAUAGUAGCCCGAGGACUUUUGUGAUAGUUAGAUCGAUUGUAUGCCCUUGUUUGGUUGAUUGGAUGAAGUGAAUUGUUUGCUUUUGCCUCAUGUGUAUAUGGGUAGUGUUUUCUCUUUAGGCCCCCUCUAUUCUUAAAUCUCAUCCUUUUCUAAACCCUCAGAUGCCUCCGAGACGUGACCCCGAAUUUACCUUCCCACCGAAGCUCACUCAAUUGAUCCAGCAACAGAACACAUUGAUGCAGUUACUAGUCCAGAAUCAGAACCAGGGGAACAACAACAACAACAACAACCCACCACCACCACCACCUGUUGAUCACUUAGCCCAAUUUUCUUAGACUGAAUCCGCUGGUGUUUUCCAAUAGCACCGAGCCGAUAAUAGCAGAUGAUUGGCUCCGCAAGACAGCUAGAGAGUUGACCACAGUAGGAUGCACUGAUGCAGAGAAGGUGAAGUUUGUCGCACAUUAGCUUGAAGGACCCGCAGCAUCAUGGUGGGAGAAUUUCACAUCCACUUUCCCUGUCAAUACUAUCACAUGGGACCAGUUUCAGCAAGCUUUUCGUACUGCCCAUGUUUCAGCAGGAGCUAUGGCCAUGAAGAAGCGAGAGUUUCGCAACUUGCGCCAAGGAGGACGGAUAGUUGGUCAGUAUGUGGAGGACUUUAGUAAGCUAGCACGUUAUGCCCCAGAUGACGUUGCUAGGGAUGCAGCUAAGCAGGAGAAGUUUCUGGAAGGAUUGAAUGAUGAGUUGAGCAUGCAGUUGAUGGUAGCAACCUUCAACAACUACCAGGAGUUGGUAGAUCAUGCUCUUAUGAUUGAAGGGAAGCAGCAGCAAAUUGAGAAUCACAAGAGGAAGUAUGCACAAGGAAAGUACAAUUCAGGAGUUCAGCAGAAGCCACGAUUUACCCCUAGGCCGGGAGGACAUUUUUAGCAUACCCAUGGAGGAGGUAGUUCGCACAAUCACAAUGGCCCCAGGAAUGGUAAUGGGAAUGGAGGAAGCAACGGCCAGAACCGCACCAACCCAUCAACCCCAGCCAAGAAAGACCUAAGCCAAGUCACUUGCUUUAAGUGCCAGAAGACCGGACAUUAUGCUAAUGAAUGUCCUGAAUCCCAGAAUGGAAAUGGCAAUGGAAGCUCUGGGAAGAAGCCAAACCCUUUCAACAGGGGACAGGUGAACCACAUUAACGUGGAGGAGGUUGAAGAGCAGCCGGAUGUAGUAAUCGGUAAGUUUUUGGUUAAGUCAUUUACUGCACUCGUUCUUUUCGAUACUGGUGCAUCGCAUUCAUACAUAUCAAGGGGAUUUGUGGAUAAGUAUAAACUGCCAACCCAAGCCCUUAGGUCACCCAUGUUAGUAACCUCGUCUGGAGCAGAACAUAUGGCUAGUCUAUGGUGUGAUCGGUUACCAUUAAGGAUUGGUAACUAUGUUUUUCCCUCGGACCUAAUAGUAUUGGAAUCCCAAGGAUUGGAUGUGAUAUUAGGCAUGGAUUGAUUAUUAAAGUAUGAAGGGAAUAUUGAAUGUGCCAGUAAGUCAAUUUCACUUACCACCCCAGAAGGGAGAAGGAUCAAGUAUGUAUCCCGACAUGUGCCAAAGAGGACUCAAGUAAAUUGUUUAACCGAAGUAGUGCAGGAGGAAGUACCAGUAAUGAAGGAUUUCCCCGAAGUAUUUUCAGAAGAGUUGCCAGGCAUGCCACCGGAUAGAGAUAUUGAGUUUUUGAUUGAGCUUUUGCCAGGCACAGGGCCAAUAUCAAAGAGACCAUAUAGGAUGCCUGCAAAGGAUUUGGUGGAAAUUAAGAAGCAGAUUAAGGAGUUACUGGAUAAAGGAUAUAUUCGCCCAAGUUCAUCGCCUUGGGGAUCGCCAAUACUUCUAGUGGAGAAGAAGGAUGGAUCGUUAAGGAUGGUUGUCGAUUAUCGAGGAUCGAAUGAAGUAACCAUCAAAAACCAGUACCCCCUACCGAUGAUCAAUGAUCUGUUUGAUCGAUUGCAAGGAGCUAAUGUAUUUUCCAAGAUCGAUCUGCGAUCAGGAUACCACCAGUUGAAGAUUCGGGAACAGGAUAUACCCAAGACGGCUUUUACCACCAGGUAUGGGCUGUACGAGUAUACCGUUAUGUCAUUUGGUCUGACUAACGCACCUGCAUAUUUUAUGAACAUGAUGAACAAGGUGCUUAUGAAGUUCUUGGAUAAGUUCAUCGUAGUGUUCAUUGAUGAUAUCCUGGUUUACUCAAAGAAUGAAGAGGAGCAUAAGGAGCAUUUGCAUUUGGUUCUUGGAAAGCUCAGAGAACAUCAAUUAUAUGCCAAACUUAGCAAAUGUGAGUUUUGGUUGAAGGAAGUUGGAUUUCUCGGACACGUUAUAUCUGGAGAAGGUAUAGCAGUAGAUCCCACUAAAGUUGAUACCGUGACCAAGUGGGAAGCACCAACCACCAUGGGAGAGAUCCGGAGUUUUCUUGGACUCGCAGGAUACUACCAGAGGUUUAUUGAGAAUUUCUCAAAGAUUGCGAAGACUAUGACUGAGUUGUUGAAGAAGGAUACCGAGUUCAUAUGGACAGAGGAAUGUGAGGCUAGUUUUCAGGAGUUGAAGAAACGUUUGGUUACCUCACCCGUGUUGAUUUUACCGGACCAGACCAAGGAUUGUGAGGUGUAUUGCGACGCUUCACGAUGAGGACUUGGAGCAGUGCUUAUGUAGGAAGGCAGAGUUGUUUCAUAUACCUCACGAUAUCUUAAGCCUCAUGAGUUGAAUUAUGCCACGCAUGAUUUGGGAUUAGCAGCCGUAGUGCAUGCAUUGAAGACUUGGAGACAUUUUCUGAUUGGAAACCAUUGCGAGGUGUACACGGAUCACAACAGUUUGAAGUAUAUUUUCACACAGAAGGAGUUGAACCUCAGACAAAGGAGAUGGUUGGAGCUCAUCAAGGAUUAUGAUAUGAAAUAGCAUUAUCACCCCGGAAAGGCUAACGUAGUAGCUGAUGCAUUAAGCCGUAAGAGCCAUGUCAACACCCUAAUGACGGGAGAUUUACCAGGGGAGUUAGCCGAAAAUCUUCGAGAGCUAUGUUUGGAAAUAGUUCCAAGAGGCUAUGUAGCAGCAUUGGAGAUUCAGUCUACUUUAAUGGAUAAGAUCAGAGAAGCUCAAAGGACUGGCAAGGAAAUUGCUUCCAUUAAGGAGAAAAUGAACAAAGGAAAAGCUAAGGGAUUUCGUGAGGAUGAGCACGAUACCUUAUGGUUUGAAGACCGUGUCUAUGUACCAAAUGAUCCGGAGAUUAGGAAGCUAAUUCUGCAAGAGGCCCAUGACUCACCAUACUCGAUUCACCCAGGAAAUACCAAGAUGUAUUUGGAUUUGAAGGAUAUUUUCUGGUGGACCGGAAUGAAGAAGGAUAUUGCGGAAUAUGUAGCAGUUUGUGAUGUAUGUCAGAGAGUGAAGGCAGAGCAUCAGAAGCCAGCAGGAUUGCUACAACCAUUGACGAUACCCGAAUGGAAGUGGGAUAAGCUAGGCAUGGAUUUCAUCAUAGGAUUGCCCAGAACACGUUCAGGCUAUGACUCGAUAUGGGUUGUAGUCGAUCGUUUGACAAAGGUAGCUCAUUUCCUUCUAGUGAAGACUACCUAUACCAGUGCAAAGUUGUCAAAGAUAUACAUGACCAGGAUCGUAUGUCUGCAUGGAGUUCCAAGGAGCAUUGUAUCGGAUAGAGGAACCCAGUUUACCUCAAAGUUCUGGAAUCAGUUGCAUGAGACUUUGGGAACCAGACUGGAGUUUAGCACAGCUUUUCACCCGCAGACAGAUGGACAGACCGAGAGAGAGUAAAUCAGAUUUUGGAGGAUAUGCUAAGAGCUUGUGCGCUAGAUUAUGGAUCUAGUUGGGAUGAGAAUUUGCCAUAUGCAGAGUUCUCUUACAACAACAGCUAUCAAUCCAGUUUGAAGAUAGCCCCUUUUGAAGCCUUGUACGGAAGGAGGUGCAGGACCCCAUUGUCCUGGGAUGAAGUUGGAGAUCGCCAGUUGUUUGGACCGGAUCUGAUAAAGGAGUCUGAACAGAAAGUGAAAUUAAUUCGCGACAGGCUGAAGGUAGCUCAAUCCAGGCAGAAGAGUUAUGCAGAUUCUAAACGCAAGGAGACAGUUUACGAAGUCGGAGACCGAGUCUAUCUUCGAGUAUCACCACUUCGAGAAGUUAAGCGCUUUGGAGUUAAGGAAAAGUUAGCACCACAUUUUGUAGGCCCAUACCAAGUUUUGGAGCGUAUGGGAGAAGUUGCCUAUAAGUUGGAAUUGCCCAAAGGAUUGUCAGGAGUUCACGACAUGUUCCAUGUAUCCCAGUUGAAGAAGUGCCACGAAGAGAUGGCCGACAUACCGUUGAGAGAUACGGUACCACUAGAAGCAAUUCAGUUGGACAGUGAUUUAACCUAUGAGGAGAAACCAGUUAAGAUUCUAGAGUAUGCCAGUCGAGUCACCCGCAACAAGGUUAUCAAGUUUUGCAAGGUUCAGUGGAGCCACCACACGGAGGAUGAAGCCACCUGGGAACGAGAGGAAGAUUUGCUGAAGGACCACCCUCACCUAUUUUCUAGCCAACCCGAAUCUCGAGGGCGAGAUUCUUCUUAAGGGGGGUAGGUUUGUAACAUCCCAAAUUUUCAAUUUGGAAUGUUAUACACUAGAUCAUCAUUGCAUAUCAUAUUUAUUGCAUUUUGGUUGAUCCUAGAAAUUUUUCGCAACUCAAGGACCGUAGGAGAGAGUUGGGGAUUUCGUUAUUUUCAUAUUUGAGUUGUCUCAAAUUUUGAAAAUAGGAUCAUUCGAUUUUAUUUAUUUUAUCUUCAAUUAUUUCUAUUACAAAAAUAUGAGAGAGGGAAUAAAAUGACUUUCCCAAAAUAAAGAAAUAUUGAGGAUUUAAUAAAAAAUCAAAUAAGAUUUUAUUUGGUUUUAUUUGCUAUUUUAUUUGAAUUUAGGAAAAAACACGUUUUUCAAAAUUGCAUUUAGGCCCCAAAUAAAUGUUCAUCCUGUGCGGCUUGAUUUUAGAAGCCGGGGAAAAUUUAUUUCGGGAUUUUUGGAGUCCGUUUAGUAGUCCUUUUGUUUUUUUCCGAGCGUAAGUUUUAAAAAAAAAACGUCUGAACCGAUCUACGGGCCGUGCUAGGCCCGGACUCCCCCGGACCCAGCCUUUAUAAGCCGCUGGCCCACCCCGGGCUGAAACCCUAGCCGCCCCGCCUCGAACCCCGCGCCCGGCGCUGCCGCCCGCGCCCGGCGCCGCCCGCCGCCGCCNNNNNNNNNNNNNNNNNNNNNNNNNNNNNNNNNNNNNNNNNNNNNNNNNNNNNNNNNNNNNNNNNNNNNNNNNNNNNNNNNNNNNNNNNNNNNNNNNNNNNNNNNNNNNNNNNNNNNNNNNNNNNNNNNNNNNNNNNNNNNNNNNNNNNNNNNNNNNNNNNNNNNNNNNNNNNNNNNNNNNNNNNNNNNNNNNNNNNNNNNNNNNNNNNNNNNNNNNNNNNNNNNNNNNNNNNNNNNNNNNNNNNNNNNNNNNNNNNNNNNNNNNNNNNNNNNNNNNNNNNNNNNNNNNNNNNNNNNNNNNNNNNNNNNNNNNGCCUCGCCCGAGCCGCCGCCGCCGUCCCGCCGCCCGAGGUUUACCUCGAUCCCGCCGCCGGUUUUCUCGGAAAAACAGUUCGGUUUUCGUCGGUUUUUUGUUUCGUUUUUUCUUUAGAUCGGUUUUUUUCCUGGUUUAGGAUAAUUAGCGAGCGUUCGUUCGUUCGUUCGUUCGUUUUAACGAACGCGUUCUUCGUUUAGAUUCAGUUAACGAACGUUCGUUCGUUAAACUGUUCAUCGUUUUUCUUUUUCUCAGAUUUAAUCCGUGAUUUUCUGAUCGCGAUUUCUGAUCCGAUUUUCGUUUUAGUUUAUCUUUUCGCUCGUUUAUCGAAAUCAGGCGAUUCAAGCGCCUGGAGUUUCGUCUCGAUACCCUCUUUCCGUUUAACCAACUUAAACAAGUUUUUGCUUCUGUAAAAAUUGCCUUAGAUCCAGAAUAGUAAACGAAGCCUGUUUCUUUUGCCGUUUGUCUUUUGUUGCUUCGUUCGAUUCGAUUCUUUUUGCCAACCGGAGUUCUUAAGUUGAACUUUCUGGUUAAAUCUCUUAUUUGAGUUUUACCUGUGCAUUGGUUGAGUACUAAUUGUGUGCUUGUUUAUUUGCGAUAGAAUACCCGGAGUGCGCCGCUUGUUACUUCGAAUCGCUAGGUUUCCCGGAUCAUCAGCAAGGCAAGUAACACUUUGAUCAUACCUCCUACUACCCAGUUUUAUUGCAUUAGAUCAAUCCUUACACAUUGCAUGAUUAGGAUCUAAUUAAAUUGUGGGUUUGGGAAGUAGUUGAGGUAGUACCUUUUACCUGUCUAAUUAUCAAACCUUUGAGAGUUACUUCUACGUUUGCUUAUUAUUGCUAUGCUAUGCUAGUAGACGUGGAUUGGGUGAGUGUAUCCAUGACAGAUGUGAGCUUUGUUAAUUAAUGGUUACUUAAGGUGGCAACCUAAACACACAUCUGGGUGGAUUGAGGCAUCUGGGUAUUCCAGGAUUGCCUGUUUUCUUUUGGACCGCCACCUAGGCUCAAAGGGAUCAUGAGAUUAUUCAUGCUAGAAACUUCCAUGUGCAGCCACAAGCUAUUAUGGGCUCUAGCAUAGUUGACUAAGUCGUGCGAACUCUUACAGUGGUAGACUAGCAGAUGUAGGGGAUGUAGGUGGUACGGUCUACCCAUCGUAAGGUGCUAGCGCUUCUGAAAGACUAUGUCUCGGUCAUUCGUUUCUCAAACACCGUGUAGUGCGAGAAACCAAACGGAGGCGAUCGAGUCUUGUGGGGAAAAGUGCGCAAACCUCUGCAGAGUGUAUAAACUAAUCAUGGUUAGCCGUGUCCCCGGUUAUGGACAUCUUGAGUAUCUAGUACCUGGAUUAUCAUGUGAAUCUCAACAUGUUACUCUAAAGAUUAAUUUUGUUGGGUUUGUUUAAUGAUGAUGUUUAAUUGGGAUUGAGAAUGCUGUCAACCAUUCUCAAUGUUUAACAACCACCAUAAUAGUUAAAUAAAUUUAUUCCUUUGCAGUAGGGAAAAAUUGGCUUUACGCAAAACUGUAACCAUAGAGCUUUCCACCAGCCAAAUAUGCAUAUAGUAUAGCUGUUUCAUUCCAUUAUUCUCUAUGUGUUACAUUGCCAGUAUAUUCCAUGUGCUGACCCGUUUUCGGGCUGCAACGUUAAUGUUGGAGACUUUUCAGACAACGAUUAAGGAGUUUUAGGUCAUGGUUCUAUACUCAAUGAUGCCGUUGGAGUUGAUGGACUCACUUAUCUUCCAAGCCUUCCGCUGUUAUCGUUAUUAGAUGGCCUUAAGCCAUUUUUAUUGUAUUAAGUUAUCUUUGGAGACACUCGAUGUAAUAAGUGUGUGAUUGCUACUCUGCUAUAAAUCCUUCAAGUACUGUGUGGUGUCAGCAUUACUGAUCCAGGGAUGACACCGGAGCACAGAGAUUGGACCGUUUGAGGUCUGGUCGCUACAAAUAGCUUGACGUCGUGGCCAAUGACAAACAGGUUAGGCCAGUGCUGGGGUUGGGUACUAAGGAAGUAGCUGGAGCAACAAAAGGGAUGUUAGUCGCGAGUCUGACUGGGUCUAAUCUGCAAGGUAUAUGUAUUUGAUGUAAACUAAUUUCUAAUAAUGUAUUGUUUGAAGGUUGGAUGUAACGAAGGAUGGGGUGAGGUUGAUACUGAUGGCAAGGUUGUCACUAAAAAACCUGGUUGCGAGCUAUGUACUACUGAAGAUGAUGCAGUCUCUGGAAGUCCAAAAGGACAAAAUGUUGCCUGUUAUGAAAGUGAAGAUGAGAUUGACAACAUCUGGAGCAAGAAGAUUAAGACCGAGCCAAAUGUUUAACUUGCGUGCAAUGUAUUAGUAGGAAGUGUUACGUUCCUGUCGUUUCAGUUUGUGUAUCAGUUUGAAUUAAUGAGAAAAUUUGAAAAAAGUACCUGCAGUUAUUUUUAAUACUUGUUCGGGAAUGGACUGGGCUUGUAUGGGUGUCGGUGGCCGGCAUGCAGUAACUGGAGCGUAUCUAUAAAGAUACGAUACAGAGGUUUCUGAAAGCAUCCCUACAUGUAAGAGGUGGUGAGGCAUGCAUGUACAGUACACAUGCUGGCGUGGAGUUGAUAUGAGCCUUGAGUAAGCCUCUCCACACUUGCCAGCUAACCUAUGCAGGGGUGAAUGCUCCACAUUUAGUUAUUGGCGUGCACCGGGCUAGAGGCGUGUUUGUACCCACAGGGUAGUGCCAAAGAGAGCUGUAGUAGAGAGAAAGAGAUGAUGAUCUGCAUACUAUUGAUGGUGAGUUGACAUGUUGGAAAUAAAAAAACCAUUUUUACUUGGAAAAAACGCAAUGUGAAGCCGGUCCNNNNNNNNNNNNNNNNNNNNNNNNNNNNNNNNNNNNNNNNNNNNNNNNNNNNNNNNNNNNNNNNNNNNNNNNNNNNNNNNNNNNNNNNNNNNNNNNNNNNNNNNNNNNNNNNNNNNNNNNNNNNNNNNNNNNNNNNNNNNNNNNNNNNNNNNNNNNNNNNNNNNNNNNNNNNNNNNNNNNNNNNNNNNNNNNNNNNNNNNNNNNNNNNNNNNNNNNAAGGUGGCAAUUGGGUGGUAGAUGAGGGGGGGGGGGGGGGUUAAUUCAUCUGUGUCACUCUGCUCUCCUCGGCUCUCCUCUAGCUCGUCUCCUAUGAAAUAUGCUGUGAACCAGAGAGAGAGAGAGCAAACCGUGAAGAACAGACGGUCCGUCCAUGGAAGUAGAAGACCUAGAGGUAAUAUCCAAUAGAUUAAACUUUUAGUAACAAUUUUCUGGCUCUGGUUCUAUUUGGAUUAGGUUCUAUCUAUACCUAGAAAGCUCUUUGACCGGGCUGGGCCUAUGGACUGGUUCCUAUAGGUGUUGGUCAAAGCUUUGUUUUAUCUUUUAAUGGAUCUGGGUCUUUGUUUUUCUUCUAGUUGCUGGUUCAUAUGGUUUGCGUGCUGGAUGUACUGGUGGAGUUUGAUUUGGUGCUGGUACCUGAACCUAAUAUGGUGGACUUGAGUAUUAAGUUCCUAGGUGUAUAUGCACUUGGAUUCCUCCCAAGUCGACAUUUUUGGUUUCUGUACUAGUUGCUUUCGCAAAUAAAAAUGGGAGAUUUCUUCUUUUUGCUUGUACUUUAUUUCCAUAGAUGGUUGGGGGAGGGGGGAUGAUGUGAUUUGAUUCAAUCUAUCAUGUACAGUAACUGAAAACUUGGUACUAUAUUGACUAUGAACUUUAUUGCAGAUGUCAUCAGAAAGACGGAUUGGUAGUAGUAGUAGGGUGCCUAAGCAUAGGUUCUUGUCUGAUUGGGAAACUGGAUCUAGCAGCAUAUGUCUAGUUGCAGAGGUUUCUCCUACAAGGAGGUAUGAAGAUCUAGGGGUGGUUCCAGACUGGAAAAUUAACACUUGCUUCACUCCUAAAGUUCUGAAAGUUGCAAUGCAUGGUUGGGGGGAAGACAAGAAGGCAGCAGGCAGAUCUAUGGGGCUCGCUGGUGUUCUUGUCAUUGAUACGUUUCCAAAGAAACAUAAAGAGCAGGCCAUGCAGCUACUGAUGAGUGUGAUCCCUGAGCAAUCAUGUUUAUCAUUGGACACUUUAGGACUGAGAACAGUUGUUUUGAAUGCAGAUGUGUGUUGUAGGAUACUUGGAACCAGGAAAGGUGGUUCGAAUGAAAUACAAGGGUGCUCAGAGCCUGCUGAAGUAGAUGAUAUAAAGGCAGUUAGGAGGCUUCUGAAACUUCCUGAAACAUCUGUACCAAUAAAAGUGGAUGAACUUGUAAAGAUUCUGAUUAAGGAACAUACAUCAAGAAUGGAUGCAGAAGAAAGAAUCGGGUUUCAGAGGGCGUUUGCAAUGCUAUACGUGACAACAUUUGUAAGUCCUAGGGAACACCUAAAUCAAGCUACUCAUUCUGCUUGCCAAUUGGUGUUGGAGCAUGAAGAUUUGACAGAUUUGAACUGGGGCAAGUACACUGUUGAUGAAAUACUUGUUGGUGCGACUAAAGCCAGGGCAAGACAAUACAUGAAAACAUCGUGAGUAUAUGGUUGCCUAUUAGUACUCAUGGUGAGAUUAGCUUAUUCCUUAUAUAUUUGAACCAACCAGAAUUGCUAGACAUUGCAUACAUUAAUGUUUUUUGGUCUGAAUGCAGCUAUUGUUCUUCGACUCAGUCAACGUAGGUUUCAUAAAACUUAAUGACCAAGCGAAGCCAUGGAUCAAAUACUACAAUGCUAGCUUGCUAGAAGCACUUGUCAAUUAUAAUAGUUCAAAGGUGGAUGGUGUAACAACAUAUGGAACGUUGAAGGUAUUUUGAAAAUGGGUGAUAACUUAUAUGUAAUUGGGAUUAUGCUAUCGUUGUAAAAAAAAUGUUUAAAAUAGGUGUAUAUACAACUUAGUCGAGCAAUAUAGACCUAGAUAUAGACUCGGCAAAGAUUUAAAGUUCCCGUGGAAAGAAUGGCUUUGAUUUUGACAAGUAUAUAAGUUCUGUGCAACAGAAUACAAAUCGGUAUACUGCACGACAUUGAAUAAAAAAGACUUCCUAUUGUGAUACAAUAAAGAAAUCUGAUUAAUUUGGAUGAUAGAACAACAAUUAUUCUUUUGUUUAUUUCCUUAAAAGUAUAUUGCUUCCUUUGUAAGAAAAUAACACAAAAUAUGUGGGGUUGCAAUUCGUAGGAACUAUAUUAUUCCAGGGGUAUAUUAACAUGUAUAAAUCCUAUUAUACAAUGUCUAACUGUGAAACUAUUUUGUAUUCAGCCUAAGAAAAGCAUGCCAGACUUCAAUUACGAAGGAGAGGCUGAUAUUCUGGAAAUGACAAAAAAUGUAAGUAAUAAAAUAAUUGUCUUGAAAUAGAAUAACGCUAAGUAGAAAUGGUCUGAUUUUGAUGUUUACAUCUGUCAGGCGAUGCCAUUGUUCACUGCACAUGCGGAAAGAAUGACAUUGGAGGGUACAAACCAUAGCAUGAAUUUACACAAUAUGUUAGUGGCAGCAGGAGGGGCUAACACAAAUAUGGCCAGGAUGAUUAUGGAAAAUUAGUUACAUAAUGAGAAGAGUAGGGUUGUUGAAGAUUUCAGAAAGUUGUUUGAGUGCAUCAUAAACAUCAGACUGGAGAACAAGAAAAAUAACAUUACUUAUUUGAGGGGCAGUGGAAAUAUGUUGAUUGAAGGUAAAUAAAAAAAUAGAAUUACAGCUGCAUUAAAACGGACAUAAGUAAGUUGCAGAGUGUUUGACAGGUUUGAAGACAGAAAUCAUGCAGUUAUUGAAAGGGAUAGGUGCUUCAAAAGACAACAGUGUGGCAGGUAUGAAAAACUGCUUUCAACAAUUUGUUUACGCAACAACUAAUGUAUAGGGGGAUUAUUAGAGGGGUUUUAAUUCCUACAUCGAAAAAGUGUUGAGAUAAAUGAUAAAACAUAGUUUUGUGUUCUGGGACAACAUGAAUAAUUUAACAUUCAAACUUAUUCAUUUUAUUUUAUUCUAUGGCGGAAAGAGUCUGCUACUUUUCUGAAGGAAAGUAAAGGGAAGGAGAAAGUGGAUGAUGGCACUGGGAAAAGCUUACUUGGUAAGUUAUGUGAUGAUGAUAGACAGAUGAGUGGAAUGUAAUUCCAUUCAAAAGUUGAUGGGUGCAACUGAAUUAAUUUGAAAUACAUUGGGGGCGACAAGGGUGGUUUUUCCAAUUAUUGCAUGGGACCUCUAAAAAAAUUACCCAGUAACAAGUUGGGACUGGAUGAGUGGUAUGAAAGAAAAGGGGUAUUUGUUCCAAUGUCUGUGUUUGCGCAAGCAUAUUUAACACAAAGAAUAAAUGGUAAAUGUUUGCUAAACCAACACUUGUAGUUUAUAUGGUAGCACUAUGAAUUAUGCUUCAUAUAUAUAAUGUACUGACAUCUGAAUGCAACAGCUGAUAUACCAGAUUUGAACAUCCCAACAUAUGAUGAAGGACAGUUUGUAGCCCAGACAAAUGAGGUGGCGCUUAAUCAGAAGAAAAGGCAGGCUUCUGAUAUGACUAGAGUGGAGGAAAUAGUUUUCGAGCCAGCGAAAAGGAAAUGUGUAUAUGUGAGACAACGUAGGAAGAAAGUUGUUUUUGCAAUCUCUCCUUUUGCACUAGGGCAAUGCUACGAGGAGAUAAGGCACGCAGUGGCAAACGUGGGGUUGAGGAACAUGAAGCAAUCAUUCCUGGGAACGCGUCCUCGGUAAGCUUUCAGGAACUAAGUUUGAUUAUGUAACAUGUAUUAGAAAUUUGCGUGGGAGUUUGACUGACACUGGUGAAAACUAUGGUUGUAGCACUUGGUUCAAGCAUGAGGAGCCUGAUUUGCUGGAGAUGACUGGGGAUAAAUUUGUAGAUCGGUUUACUAGUCCAUGUGGACUGACUUAUAGAGGAUUUGCUGUGGUGAUUAGGAUGAUGUGGAUGGUUGAGCUGACUUGGAUGACACCUGCACAACGAAACCGUUGGAGGCACAUCUUGCUACCUCUUUGGGCGGUGAGUUAUUAAAAACUAUGGGGCAAAACAAAUUAGGAAGAGACGAUUCCUUGCUAAUAAUGACAAUUUCAUAUCUGUUUAGGAGCUUGUGGUGUAUGAUAAAAAUUAUCUUGCGCAUUCAAAGGUGAAAGAAAUGUUCACAAGUGAGGUUUGGGGGUAUGAUCUGCCGUGCUGCAGGAUGGUAAGUAAAUUGUUUGUACUUGCAAUCCAAAGUUUGUAGUCGUAAGAUUUGUUUUGAUAUGAAGUAAGUUGUGUGACCGGUUAUUUCAGAUAAUAGCGCCUAUAAGAGACAAAGAACAAUAACUGGACAUUGUAUGCUAUUGACAUGAGCGAAUGCAUUGUGCAUGUCCUUGAUCCAAGGAGUUCAUGCAUUGGAGAGGAACAACUGCUGGAAAACACAGUGGCAUUUGUGACAAGCUGAUUACUGGAUUAGCGAAGUGUGCAAGAGAGUUCUAUAAGGGCUGGGAAGUGGUCCCCGAGAAGUUAACAUACACCCGAAACUUCAUGGGCCAGCCAGCAUGUAAGUUAAUUGUUUACUACUAUUUUGUUAUGCUUAUAUGAAAACUUUCUGGUUAAUAACAACUAGUUUCGUUUACGCAGUGAAAAAUCUGCGUUCGACAUGGUGCACCAUUUCACAUACUUCGACGGGAAAUCACUAGUGAAAGGGAGAUCAAAAGCAAGUUCUUCCCCUACUUGCCUGUCUUUCAAAAAAAUAUUUUUUUAGAUAUGGUUGUUAUAUCAUAUUUAUAAUAAUUCCGGCUAGAAAUUUAAUAUAUCUAAUGUUUACUUCUUGUAGGAGUUGAAUAAACAACUGAAGGCCAAUGACCUGCAGAUGGUUCUAGGAAUGAAAGGGAACAAAGGAUACCCGCCAAAAGGCGUCCUUGCGCCUGAAGUCUAGAUUCCAAUGGAUUAGAGGAACAAGUAUGUAGAAGUGAUAUGUGUGUAUUAUUUUGCGUUUGAAUAUGUAUCAGGCUUCAUCAUGGUACUGAAAUAUGCUGACAUGUGGACAAACUGCAACAUGUAGACAUGGCUGCAUAUAUGGAGUGCUUAUCUGCGAGCUAAGAAAAAUUGAGUUGUACCAUCUAAGGAUGGGGGGUUUUGUUUGUUGGUAUGCUUCAGAAAUCUAAUAUUUAACAUGUUGCCCCUUGGGGCACGCAAAGUGUUUUAUGGUAAGCAUUCUUGAACAGAAAAUAGUCAAUUUUUGAGAGUAAAUGAAUGAGGAAAAAAUGAAGCAAUAUUGCCAGAAAUUUGUUAAAUCGUGGACUGGCAAUAGUAAGAAUUUUGCAAAGACAUGAACUGAAUAGUACAUAUAUUAUUCUGAUAAUAAACAUGAUUGACAUCUAGGGAUAAAGUUAGGGGACUCACAAGGGGCUGGAGGGGGUCUGCAAAUCUUAGCAAUCUUGAACCGAUGGGCAGAUCACUAGGCAUCUUGGAUGAGGAGGCCUGCGAUGCAAUAGGGGGAUUCGUUUAGGAAGGGGAAGAUGAGGCUGCUAAGUAACUGUUGUAUAUUGCAGGGGACAGGGGAAGGGGAGAAGAAAUGAAGAUCUGAGAGGAGAGGAGAAGUGAGGAGAAGUGCGCAAUGCCAGAUCUGUAAGGCCGAAGUGGUGGGAUGACUAGGGGGUAGGUGGUUUGAGUGGCUGGGAGUAGUAGCAUGGUGAGUGAGGUGAGGCUUUGGUGUUGGCUGCUGAUUGGUAGAACCAACUUUAGGUGCUAUGGUGGGGCAAACAAGGG
rnacentral:lncRNA from 1 species